GUAGGUGAACCUGCGGAAGGAUCAUUAUUGAAUACUCUUGAUGGGUUGUAGCUGGCUCUUCGGGGCAUGUGCACGCCUGUCUUGACUUUAUUCGUCCACCUGUGCACCUUUUGUAGUCUUGGAGGUUGAGAGCAGUCGACUAUCGGAUACUUUUCCGGAUGUGACGAAUUGCUGAGUGCGAAAGCAUACAGCUCUUCUCAAAUGACUUGCAACACUUCUCUUCAAGUACUAUGUAUUCAUAUACCACAUAGUAUGUUGUAGAAUGUGAUCAAUGGGCUUAUAUGCCUAUAAUAAUCAUAUACAACUUUCAGCAACGGAUCUCUUGGCUCUC
rnacentral:misc_RNA from 1 species